rnacentral:miRNA from 1 species
UGCAAAUCUUUCGCGAC